rnacentral:rRNA from 1 species
UGUCAGCAGCCGCGGUAAUACGAAGGGACCUAGCGUAGUUCGGAAUUACUGGGCGUAAAGCGCGCGUAGGCCGUUGAGUUAGUUAAUUGUGAAAUCCCAAAGCUUAACUUUGGAACUGCAAUUAAAACUGCUCGACUAGAGUUUGAUAGAGGAAAGCGGAAUACAUAGUGUAGAGGUGAAAUUCGUAGAUAUUAUGUAGAACACCAGUUGCGAAGGCGGCUUUCUGGAUCAACACUGACGCUGAGGCGCGAAAGUAUGGGUAGCAAAGAGGAUUAGAUACCCUCGUAGUCCAUACCAUAAACGAUGAUUGCUAGAUGUUGGAAAUUUAUUUUCAGUAUCGCAGCUAACGCAUUAAGCAAUCCGCCUGGGGAGUACGACCGCAAGGUUAAAACUCAAAUGAAUUGACGG